CCCCACCAAGAUCUAGUAAUCCGGACUGCGUGACUUUUUAUGACCUCCAGCAGAAGCCUAUUUUAGCAUAGGCAGUGAAUGAAGCAUAGAGUCAAGACACCACCAUGGGAAAUUAGCCUGAAGCUGUGUAACGAAGCCUGCUGAGGAUGGUCUUUGGGGUUAGAAAAAUGCUUGCUGCCUGCAGAAUCACAGAAAACAUGUAUGUGAAAUUUCCAGCUCUUCUGAUGACAUCAGUCUUUCCAUCAGUGCAACAAAGGACUGAUGAGUCAUGCUUCACCAGGUAUCCUGACCAUGAGAGUUCCUCUGAGACAUUAUUGAAUUACAAGGUCUGAGAAGUCCUGAGCACAAGCUAACAGAUCCUUGAGAAGAGCGUCAAGACACAAAGGGAUGUGUUCUUCACUGAACUGCCCCCCUGCAGUUUGUACUGUAGUUCAAGUCUCACACGUUAACACCUGAUUCCAGCUGUAGAGGAUUUACAAAUGCAAAAUCUCCCAGAAGACCUACAUCCAUCACCAGCCUGACUGAAAAACUGAGAUGGAUUUCAGCUGUGUCCCAGUUUGCACUACACGAGCUGACUUUGUGCAAUAAUGAAGGAGACUGGAUCAAAGGCAAAAGCCCUGCUGGAAAUCUUGUGGGCUGUCACCCUGCCUUUAGUGGCAGAGUAUUUAUGUACAUGGAAGAGAAUCCCUGUUCCCAGAGAAAUUAUCAGUUCCUGCUGCUUAUACCCUAUUUGAUGUCACGAACUCGGUUGCUGUGGAAAUGAUUAAGCUGUCAUCAACAGGAUUCAGAUGGGGAAUAAGCUCUGGGAGAAGAUGAUACAACAUAACUUCUUUUAUGCAAAUAUGUGCAGUUAAGAAUGGCAAAACAAACAAACAAGCAAAAAAA